GUGCCAGCCGCCGCGGUAAUACGUAGGUUCCGAGCGUUGUCCGGAUUUAUUGGGCGUAAAGCGAGCGCAGGCGGUUAGAUAAGUCUGAAGUUAAAGGCUGUGGCUUAACCAUAGUACGCUUUGGAAACUGUUUAACUUGAGUGCAAGAGGGGAGAGUGGAAUUCCAUGUGUAGCGGUGAAAUGCGUAGAUAUAUGGAGGAACACCGGUGGCGAAAGCGGCUCUCUGGCUUGUAACUGACGCUGAGGCUCGAAAGCGUGGGGAGCAAACAGGAUUAGA
rnacentral:rRNA from 1 species